AAAUGCGAUAAGUAAUGUGAAUUGCAGAAUUCAGUGAAUCAUCGAAUCUUUGAACGCACAUUGCGCCCGCCAGUAUUCUGGCGGGCAUGCCUGUUCGAGCGUCAUUUCAACCAUCAAGCCCCCGGCUUGUGUUGGGGACCUGCGGCUGCCCGCAGGCCCUGAAAACCAGUGGCGGGCUCGCUGUCACACCGAGCGUAGUAGCAUACAUCUCGCUCAGGGCGUGCUGCGGGUUCCGGCCGUUAAAAGCCUUUUUUUACCCAAGGUUGACCUCGGAUCAGGUAGGAAGACCCGCUGAACUUAAGC
rnacentral:misc_RNA from 1 species